UACGAAGGGGGGCUAGCGUUGCUCGGAAUCACUGGGCGUAAAGCGCACGUAGGCGGACUCUUAAGUCGGGGGUGAAAUCCUGGAGCUCAACUCCAGAACUGCCUUUGAUACUGAGGAUCUUGAGUUCGGGAGAGGUGAGUGGAACUGCGAGUGUAGAGGUGAAAUUCGUAGAUAUUCGCAAGAACACCAGUGGCGAAGGCGGCUCACUGGCCCGAUACUGACGCUGAGGCACGAAAGCGUGGGGGAGCAAACAGG
rnacentral:rRNA from 1 species